GAUGAACGCUGGCGGCGUGCCUAAUACAUGCAAGUCGAGCGAACGGACGAGAAGCUUGCUUCUCUGAUGUUAGCGGCGGACGGGUGAGUAACACGUGGAUAACCUACCUAUAAGACUGGGAUAACUUCGGGAAACCGGAGCUAAUACCGGAUAAUAUUUUGAACCGCAUGGUUCAAAAGUGAAAGACGGUCUUGCUGUCACUUAUAGAUGGAUCCGCGCUGCAUUAGCUAGUUGGUAAGGUAACGGCUUACCAAGGCAACGAUGCAUAGCCGACCUGAGAGGGUGAUAGGCCACACUGGAACUGAAACACGGUCCAGACUCCUACGGGAGGCAGCAGUAGGGAAUCUUCCGCAAUGGGCGAAAGCCUGACGGAGCAACGCCGCGUGAGUGAUGAAGGUCUUCGGAUCGUAAAACUCUGUUAUUAGGGAAGAACAUAUGUGUAAGUAACUGUGCACAGCUUGACGGUACCUAAUCAGAAAGCCACGGCUAACUACGUG
rnacentral:rRNA from 1 species